AACGAACGCUGGCGGCAUGCCUAACACAUGCAAGUCGAACGAGACCUUCGGGUCUAGUGGCGCACGGGUGCGUAACGCGUGGGAACCUGCCCUAAGGUUCGGAAUAACACAGAGAAAUUUGUGCUAAUACCGGAUAAUGUCUUCGGACCAAAGAUUUAUCGCCUUUGGAUGGGCCCGCGUAGGAUUAGCUAGUUGGUGAGGUAAAGGCUCACCAAGGCGACGAUCCUUAGCUGGUCUUAGAGGAUGAUCAGCCACACUGGGACUGAGACACGGCCCAGACUCCUACGGGAGGCAGCAGUGGGGAAUAUUGGACAAUGGGCGCAAGCCUGAUCCAGCAAUGCCGCGUGGGCGAUGAAGGCCUUAGGGUUGUAAAGCUCUUUUACUGGGGAUGAUAAUGACAGUACCCAGAGAAUAAGCCCCGGCUAACUCCGUGCCAGCCGCCGCCGUAAUAC
rnacentral:rRNA from 1 species